rnacentral:rRNA from 1 species
UACGGAGGGGGCGAGCGUUAUUCGGAAUUAUUGGGCGUAAAGGGCGCGUAGGCGGCUUGACAAGUCAAAGGUGAAAUCCCUCGGCUCAACUGAGGAACUGCCUUUGAAACUGUCUGGCUUGAGGCCGGGAGGGGGUAGCGGAAUUCCCAGUGUAGCGGUGAAAUGCGUAGAUACUGGGAGGAACACCAGUGGCGAAGGCGACUUACUGGACACAUAUUGACGCUGAGGUGCGAAAGCGUGGGGAGCAAACAGG